CCACUAGAGAGUGAGAAAUAUAAGGUUGACAAAUAAAGUAAAACAAUGUUUGUGAUACGUUCAGAAUUUUAUUACUUCAAAACAAACCUUAAAACUAAUAAAUGAUACCUUUUAUUACAGCUUCCGUAACUUAGGACCACUUUGGUAUUACAGUUGAAGACCAGAAUUGUUUUUUUAUCGAUCGAAAUGACCGGGACCUUAACGAGAAAUUACCCAUUUAAUGAAGUGCCUAUUUCAUGAAAUGGUGGCAUUUAAUGAUAUGGCCAGGUCGUAUUUAAUUAGCAAAUAUAUUAACUAAAAAUAACGCUUGCUGUAAGCGCCUAUGGUUAGGAUGUCCGCUUCCUAAUCGGAGGUCGGGGGUUCGACUCCUGGUACGCACCUCUAACUUUUCGGAGUUAUGUGUGUUUUAAGCAAUCAAAUAUCAAUUGGCAUCGUCAAAUCCAUUAACACACUUUCUGGCCAACUGAGUUGUUUGAUAUGAUAUGGAAUAAAUUGCCCAAAAAUGUGGUUAUGUCAAGCUCUGUUCAAGAAUAAUUAGGACAAACAUUUGGAAAACUCUAAGCACUUCUGAUAUAAUAAUAAAAAUAUCACUUGCAUUAACGGUGAUGGAAAACAUCAUGAGGAAACCUGCAAGCUUGAGAGGUCUCCAAAAUGUUCUCAAAGGUGUAUGAAGUCUACCAAUUUGCACUCGGCCAGCAUGG